GACAAGUUGGCCGAGUGGCGAUGGACUGCUAAUCCAUUGUGCUAUGCACGCGUGGGUUUGAAUUCUAUCUUUGUCG
rfam:Danio rerio chromosome 4, GRCz11 reference primary assembly.